rnacentral:rRNA from 1 species
AAUGCUCAGUAACACGUCGGUAACCUACCCUCGGGAGGGGGAUAACCCCGGGAAACUGGGGCUAAUCCCCCAUAGGCCUGAGGUACUGGAAGGUCCUCAGGCCGAAAGGGGCAUCUGCCCGCCCGAGGAUGGGCCGGCGGCCGAUUAGGUAGUUGGUGGGGUAACGGCCCACCAAGCCGAAGAUCGGUACGGGCCAUGAGAGUGGGAGCCCGGAGAUGGACACUGAGACACGGGUCCAGGCCCUACGGGGCGCAGCAGGCGCGAAACCUCCGCAAUGCGGGCAACCGCGACGGGGGGACCCCCAGUGCCGUGGCAUAGCCACGGCUUUUCCGGAGUGUAAAAAGCUCCGGGAAUAAGGGCUGGGCAAGGCCGGUGGCAGCCGCCGCGGUAAUACCGGCGGCCCGAGUGGUGGCCGCUAUUAUUGGGCCUAAAGCGUCCGUAGCCGGGCCCGUAAGUCCCUGGCGAAAUCCCACGGCUCAACCGUGGGGCUUGCUGGGGAUACUGCGGGCCUUGGGACCGGGAGAGGCCGGGGGUACCCCUGGGGUAGGGGUGAAAUCCUAUAAUCCCAGGGGGACCGCCAGUGGCGAAGGCGCCCGGCUGGAACGGGUCCGACGGUGAGGGACGAAGGCCAGGGGAGCGAACCGGAUUAGAUACCCGGGUAGUCCUGGCUGUAAAGGAUGCGGGCUAGGUGUCGGGCGAGCUUCGAGCUCGCCCGGUGCCGGAGGGAAGCCGUUAAGCCCGCCGCCUGGGGAGUACGGCCGCAAGGCUGAAACUUAAAGGAAUUGGCGGGGGACCAC